rnacentral:misc_RNA from 1 species
GGAACGAAGCCCAUAUCCUUGAGAACAUUUCUACAUUCAGGGUAAGCUUCCUUCUUCAUGAACCCAAGAGGAUUGGCAUAGCGGGUCGGCUGCACCACCCCAACGUUCUUGGUGAGGAGGAUUCUGGCACGAUCUGCACUCUUGAAUGGCUCAGUGCAGUCUGCCAUUCCGCUCUUCAUCAACCUCACCUCACAGAUAUCUUCCUCAUGAUCACCCUCCACGGGUAGCCUGUAAACACCUUUCACAUCGGUCACACCCUCCACCGCAUAUGUCAAUGUGUUGUUUUCACGGUUCUUGCACUCCAGCUUCACCGUAGCACCUGCAUGUGUCAAACAUUCGAAAAAAUAAGUACUGUUAGUGGCGAUUGCAGAUCAGAAAAAUUUUAGAAUACCAUUGUUGUAUUUGGUUUACCUGAAAUCAAUUCGCUUAUCUUGGUCUCGAACUCGACCCGGCAAGUGUCACAGUAGACUCUGCCUUCAACAUAUAAGGCGGUGGAAGCCAAGGCGAAAUUGAGGAAGGAGGAGAAGCAAAGAGCCGAGGCAAUGAUGGCAGUGAAUGUGAAGAUCCUUGCCAUUUUAUGGGAG